rnacentral:rRNA from 1 species
GAUGAACGCUAGCUGCAGGCUUAACACAUGCAAGUCGAGGGACCGGCGCGCGGGUGAGUAACACGUAUCCGACCGGCACUUUACUCGGGGAUAGCCUUUCGAAAGAAAGAUUAAUACCCGAUAUAAAGGAUGGGGAUGCGUUCCAUUAGGUUGUUGGUGAGGUAACGGCUAACCAAGCUCUCGAGGGAUAGGGGUUCGGAGAGGAAGGCCCACCAGAACUGAGCUGAGACCCGGACCAAAAUCGUACGGGAGGGAGGAGUGUGGUAGAUUGGUCAAUGGGGGCUAGUCCGACCCUGCCAAGUAGAGUGAAGGAUGACGGGUUAUGAGUCGUAUUUUUGUUGGAUAUAAGAAUAUGUACUAGAUGAAGAAGGAUCGGCUAACUCCGUGCCAGCAGCCGCGGUAAUUC